rnacentral:lncRNA from 10 species
AUGACCCACCAAACACAUGCCUACCGUAUAGUCAAACCCAGCCCCUGACGACUGACAGGAGCUCUCUCAGCUCUCCUAAUAACAUCUGGCCUGGCCAUGUGAUUUCACUUUAAUUCUAUCACUCUUUUAACCCUAGACCUACUAACCAACACACUAACGAUACACCAAUGAUGACAUGACAUUAUCCAAGAAAGUACAUUUCAAGGCCACCAUACAACAGUUGUCCAAAAAGGCCUCCAAUAGGGAAUAAUUCUAUUUAUUAUCUCAGAAAUAUUCUUCUUUGCUGGUUUCUUCUGGGCAUUCUACCACUCUAGUCUAGCCCCGACUCCAGAAUUAGGGGGACAUUGACCUCCAACAGGCAUUUUUCCCCUCAACUCCUUAGAAGUACCCCUCCUAAAUACGUCUGUAUUACUUGCAUCAGGAGUUUCAAUUACUUGGGCCCACCACAGCCUAACAGAAGGUAAUCAAAAGCAAAUAAUUCAAGCAUUCUCCAUCACAGUCACCUUAGGUAUUUCCUUCACCCUCCUACAAAUCUCAGAAUAUUUUGAGACCGCUUUUACUCUUGUGCCCGGCCCAACAUUCUUUAUAGUCACAGGUUUUCACGGACUUCAUGUUAUUAUCAGAUCAACAUUUCUCACUAUCUGCCUCCUCCGCCCAUUAAAAUUCCACUUUACAUCCAACCACCACUUUGGCUUUGAAGCCGCUGCCUGAUAUUGACACUUCAUAGAUGUAGUAGGACUAUUCUUAUACGUCUCUUUCUACUGAUGAGGA